GGAGCAGGCCAGAUGAUCGCUGUUCCGGUUUACCGGAAGGGAGGAAAGUCCGAGCUCCACAGGGCAGGAUGGUCGCUAACGGCGACUGGGGGUGACCCUAAGGAAAGUGCCACAGAAAAGAUACCG
rnacentral:RNase_P_RNA from 1 species